UACGUAGGCAGCGAGCGUUGUUCGGAGUUACUGGGCGUAAAGCGUGCGUAGGCGGUUGUCUAAGUCUGGUGUGAAAUCUCCCGGCUCAACUGGGAGGGCGCGCCGGAAACUGGAUGACUGGAGUGCCGGAGAGGUAAGCGGAAUUCCUGGUGUAGCGGUGAAAUGCGUAGAGAUCAGGAGGAACACCUGUGGUGUAGACAGCUUACUGGACGGUGACUGACGCUGAGGCACGAAAGCGUGGGUAGCAAACAGG
rnacentral:rRNA from 1 species